CGGUGCGUGCUCGCGGCCUGCUCACCUGUGUUCGCGGCUGAGCUCUUCGGACCCAUGAAGGAGGGUAAUGCCGCCGGCAGCAGCGUGCGCGUGGAAGACAUGGAUGCAGAGGUGUUCAAGGCACUGCUCCGUUACGCGUAUACUGGCUCCUUGCCAGACAUGCGCAAGGAAGAGGAGGAUGUCACCUGCCAGCAUCUGCUCGUCGCGGCGGACAGAUACGGCAUGGAGCGGCUGAAGCUGAUCUGCGAGGAGAAGCUGUGCAAGUACAUCGAUGUUGGCAGAGGGGCGACCAUCCUCAUGCUGGCCGAGCGGCACCACUGUGAGGGGCUGAAGAAGGCGUGCUUCAAUUUUCUCGCCCUGCCGGCAAAUCUGAGGGCCACCGUGGCCACCGACGGCUUACAACAUCUCAGCGAGAGCUGCCCGUCUCUUAUGGUCAAGCUCAUGGCC
rnacentral:rRNA from 1 species